UGAAUAGUUAUAUAUUUUGGUUCUUUACUUGCGGGUAAAGAUUAAAAAGGAACCAGGUUAAAAUCCUGGACGGUCCGGCCACUGUAAUUGAGGGAGUGACUUCCAUGAGCCACUAGUUGAAAAACUGGGAAGGCGGAAGAAACGUACCAACCUCAUAAGUCAGGAGACUUGCCUAAAUAUAGAUGUAGAAU
rnacentral:ncRNA from 16 species